rnacentral:rRNA from 1 species
GACGAACGCUGGCGGCGUGCUUAACACAUGCAAGUCGAACGGAAAGGCCCUGCUUUUGUGGGGUGCUCGAGUGGCGAACGGGUGAGUAACACGUGAGUAACCUGCCCUUGACUUUGGGAUAACUUCAGGAAACUGGGGCUAAUACCGGAUAGGAGCUCCUGCUGCAUGGUGGGGGUUGGAAAGUUUCGGCGGUUGGGGAUGGACUCGCGGCUUAUCAGCUUGUUGGGGGGGUAGUGGCUUACCAAGGCUUUGACGGGUAGCCGGCCUGAGAGGGUGACCGGCCACAUUGGGACUGAGAUACGGCCCAGACUCCUACGGGAGGCAGCAGUGGGGAAUUUUGCACAAUGGGCGGAAGCCUGAUGCAGCAACGCCGCGUGCGGGAUGACGGCCUUCGAGUUGUAAACCGCUUUCGCCUGUGACGAAGCGUGAGUGACGGUAAUGGGUAAAGAAGCACCGGCUAACUACGUG